rnacentral:rRNA from 1 species
UACGAAGGGGGCUAGCGUUGCUCGGAUUGACUGGGCGUAAAGGGCGCGUAGGCGGCGGACACAGUCAGACGUGAAAUUCCUGGGCUCAACCUGGGGGCUGCGUUUGAUACAUGUCUGCUUGAGUUCGGAAGAGGGUCGUGGAAUUCCCAGUGUAGAGGUGAAAUUCGUAGAUAUUGGGAAGAACAUCGGUGGCGAAGGCGGCGACCUGGUCCGAUACUGACGCUGAGGCGCGAAAGCGUGGGGAGCAAACAGG